AGCGAACGCUGGCGGCAGGCUUAACACAUGCAAGUCGAGCGGGCACUUUCGGGUGUCAGCGGCGGACGGGUGAGUAACGCGUGGGAACGUGCCCUCUGGUUCGGAAUAACUCAGGGAAACUUGAGCUAAUACCGGAUACGCCCUUUUGGGGAAAGGCUUGCUGCCGGAGGAUCGGCCCGCGUCUGAUUAGCUAGUUGGUGAGGUAACGGCUCACCAAGGCGACGAUCAGUAGCUGGCCUGAGAGGAUGAUCAGCCACACUGGGACUGAGACACGGCCCAGACUCCUACGGGAGGCAGCAGUGGGGAAUAUUGGACAAUGGGCGCAAGCCUGAUCCAGCCAUGCCGCGUGAGUGAUCAAGGCCUUAGGGUUGUAAAGCUCUUUUAUCCGGGACGAUAAUGACGGUACCGGAGGAAUAAGCCCCGGCUAACUUCGUG
rnacentral:rRNA from 1 species